UAAUAUACUUACAGAAGUCAGUAAAAAAAACCCAAUCUGUCUCACUGUUUUAACUUAAAGCAUUUUAUUUCCUCUCAUUCCUGCCAAACCAAGCAUUGGGAGACUCAGCUGUGGAAUAAAUUCUAGGGGCUGCACAUGCCAGUGGAUGGAGCUGCCCCAAGGCUUCCUUGCUUGCUCUGGUGUGGAUCAUCACCAUGUUUGGGGCUGAGGACAGCUGAACUCCUGUUUCAUGAUCUAGUUAUAUAAAGAGGAAUCCUAACUUGUGUUAGAAGGAAUGAUUCCCUGAGGAGAAAGGAAAGAGUUUAUGCAGAGGGAACUUGUAUCUGUGACAUGCUGAGGCCAACAGGGAUGUGAUUGCUGUGCAUAAUGACUGCGUGCAAGAAGCAAGGAGAAGGCAGCAGUGUGGAACAGUGGAGGACUCCUGCAGUGCUGUCAAAGCCAGCGAGGCUAGAGGUGGUGUGCUGUGUAAGUACUGCUUGAGCUCUGAAGGGAUCAAACUGAUUUUCUUCCUGGUUUUGUUCCCCUUAGACUUCAAUAGUCUGAGGAACAGGGGAGUAUGUGCAACUUCCAUAGAAGAUCCAAAUCUUUCUUUUUCCUGCAUUGCCUUUUGGGGAAUGAAUAUUUCUGUAGACAGAUCUUUCUCUUUUUUCACAGGCACAGUGUUCUUAAGAAGGUGUAUGGCUGGAAGCUCCUCAUUUUUCUCUCUUUCAUCCUCUUAAGUAUUCCAUGGUCUCUCUCAAAUUUCCAAAAUGAGAUGUGGGAGGUCCAAAAGCCAUGGCCAAUGUAACUAAGACCCUGCAAGGUCCACUAAUGACGUGGGGAAAAUCCAAUGGAGUAUUUCUUGUCACAUUUGUAA